AAUCAACGCUGGCGGCGUGCCUAACACAUGCAAGUCGAGCGGGAAAGGGGGCUUCGCCCUGAGUAUAGCGGCGGACGGGUGAGUAACACGUGGGUAAUUUGCCCUUGGGUGUGGAAUAACUCAGGGAAACUUGAGCUAAUACCGCAUGACAUCCCCUUCACACACGAGUCGGGGGAUCAAAGCCGGGGGACCCUUCGGGGCCUGG
rnacentral:rRNA from 1 species